UACAGAGGGUGCAAGCGUUAAUCGGAGUUACUGGGCGUAAAGGGCGCGUAGGCGGAUAUUUAAGUCGGAUGUGAAAUCCCCGGGCUUAACCUGGGAACUGCAUUCGAUACUGGGUGUCUAGAGUAUGGGAGAGGAAAGCGGAAUUCCCGGUGUAGCAGUGAAAUGCGUAGAUAUCGGGAAGAACAUCAGGGCGAAGGCGGCUUUCUGGCCCAAUACUGACGCUGAGGCGCGAGAGCGUGGGGAGCAAACA
rnacentral:rRNA from 1 species